rnacentral:rRNA from 1 species
CGGUGUUCAACUGGCGUGUCCGCGGGACGUCCUGCCGGUGGGCUUAGCCCGCAAGGGCGGCCCAACUUCAAAUCCCAUCGCGGUGCUCUUCACUGAGUGUCGAGGUGGGCCGGCACGUUUACUUUGAACAAAUUAGAGUGCUUAAAGCAGGCUAAAACUUCGCCUGAAUACUGUGUGCAUGGAAUAAUGGAAUAGGACCUCGGUUCUAUUUUGUUGGUUUUCGGAACCCCGAGGUAAUGAUUAAUAGGAACGGAUGGGGGCAUUCGUAUUGCGACGUUAGAGGUGAAAUUCUUGGAUCGUCGCAAGACGGACAGAAGCGAAAGCAUUUGCCAAAAACGCUUUCAUUGAUCAAGAACGAAAGUUAGAGGUUCGAAGGCGAUCAGAUACCGCCCUAGUUCUAACCAUAAACGAUGCCAGCUAGCGAUCCGUCGACGUUCCUCCGAUGACUCGACGGGCAGCUUCCGGGAAACCAAAGCUUUUGGGUUCCGGGGGAAGUAUGGUUGCAAAGCUGAAACUUAAAGGAAUUGACGGAAGGGCACCACCAGGAGUGGAGCCUGCGGCUUAAUUUGACUCAACACGGGAAACCUCACCAGGCCCGGACACCGGAAGGAUUGACAGAUUGAGAGCUCUUUCUUGAUUCGGUGGGUGGUAGUGCAUGGCCGUUCUUAGUUGGUGGAGCGAUUUGUCUGGUUAAUUCCGAUAACGAACGAGACUCUAGCCUGCUAACUAGGCGUAUUUUCGACAUCUCAAAGGUCCGUCGUCCCGGCCCUCGGGUCGUGGGCGUGCGCGAUUUUUACUGUCGGCGUACUAUCAAUUCUUCUUAGAGGGACAGGUGGCUUCUAGCCGCACGAGAUUGAGCAAUAACAGGUCUGUGAUG